UGCAAGUCGAGCGAACAGAUAAGGAGCUUGCUCCUUUGACGUUAGCGGCGGACGGGUGAGUAACACGUGGAUAACCUACCUAUAAGACUGGGAUAACUUCGGGAAACCGGAGCUAAUACCGGAUAACAUAUUGAACCGCAUGGUUCAAUAGUGAAAGGCGGCUUUGCUGUCACUUAUAGAUGGAUCCGCGCCGUAUUAGCUAGUUGGUAAGGUAACGGCUUACCAAGGCAACGAUACGUAGCCGACCUGAGAGGGUGAUCGGCCACACUGGAACUGAGACACGGUCCAGACUCCUACGGGAGGCAGCAGUAGGGAAUCUUCCGCAAUGGGCGAAAGCCUGACGGAGCAACGCCGCGUGAGUGAUGAAGGUCUUCGGAUCGUAAAACUCUGUUAUCAGGGAAGAACAAAUGUGUAAGUAACUGUGCACAUCUUGACGGUACCUGAUCAGAAAGCCACGGCUAACUACGUGCCAGCAGCCGCGGUAAUACGUAGGUGGCAAGCGUUAUCCGGAAUUAUUGGGCGUAAAGCGCGCGUAGGCGGUUUUUUAAGUCUGAUGUGAAAGCCCACGGCUCACCCGUGGAGGGUCAUUGGAAACUGGAAAACUUGAGUGCAGAAGAGGAAAGUGGAAUUCCAUGUGUAGCGGUGAAAUGCGCAGAGAUAUGGAGGAACACCAGUGGCGAACGCGACUUUUCUGGUCUGUAACUGACGCUGAUGUGCGAAAGCGUGGGGAUCAAACAGGAUUAGAUACCCUGGUAGUCCACGCCGUAAACGAUGAGUGCUAAGUGUUAGGGGGUUUCCGCCCCUUAGUGCUGCAGCUAACGCAUUAAGCACUCCGCCUGGGGAGUACGACCGCAAGGUUGAAACUCAAAGGAAUUGACGGGGACCCGCACAAGCGGUGGAGCAUGUGGUUUAAUUCGAAGCAACGCGAAGAACCUUACCAAAUCUUGACAUCCUUUGACCGCUCUAGAGAUAGAGUCUUCCCCUUCGGGGGACAAAGUGACAGGUGGUGCAUGGUUGUCGUCAGCUCGUGUCGUGAGAUGUUGGGUUAAGUCCCGCAACGAGCGCAACCCUUAAGCUUAGUUGCCAUCAUUAAGUUGGGCACUCUAAGUUGACUGCCGGUGACAAACCGGAGGAAGGUGGGGAUGACGUCAAAUCAUCAUGCCCCUUAUGAUUUGGGCUACACACGUGCUACAAUGGACAAUACAAAGGGCAGCUAAACCGCGAGGUCAAGCAAAUCCCAUAAAGUUGUUCUCAGUUCGGAUUGUAGUCUGCAACUCGACUACAUGAAGCUGGAAUCGCUAGUAAUCGUAGAUCAGCAUGCUACGGUGAAUACGUUCCCGGGUCUUGUACACACCGCCCGUCACACCACGAGAGUUUGUAACACCCGAAGCCGGUGGAGUAACCAUUUAUGGAGCUAGC
rnacentral:rRNA from 1 species